rnacentral:rRNA from 1 species
AUUCCAGCUCCAAUAGCGUAUAUUAAAGUUGUUGCAGUUAAAAAGCUCGUAGUUGGAUUUCUGGCAGGAGUGACCGACCACAAACUCUGUUUGUGAGUUGUGUUAUUCUGGCCAUCCUUGGUAAGAUCCUUUUUGGCAUUAAGUUGUCGGGAAGGGGAUGACCAUCGUUUACUGUGAAAAAAUUAGAGUGUUUAAAGCAGGCUUAUGCCGUUGAAUAUAUUAGCAUGGAAUAAUAAGAUAGGACUUUGAGUCUAUUUUGUUGGUUUGCGAGUCAAAGUAAUGAUUAAUAGGGACAGUUGGGGGUAUUCGUAUUUCAUUGUCAGAGGUGAAGUUCUUGGAUUUCUGAAAGACGAACUACUGCGAAAGCAUUUACCAAGGAUGUUUUCAUCG